GGGGCGCUCAUAGUCGUUCCAACAAGUCACGAUUUGCUGACCCAUUAUAAGCGCAAACUCGGGACUUUGGUCGCCCUGCAAGGUGAAUGUGGCGUUGUAAGGGGCGCUCAUAGUCGUUCCAACAAGGCAUUUUGCUGACAGCAAGGCGAUUUGCUGACCCAUUAGAAGCGCAAACUCGGGACUUUGGUCGCCCUGCAAGAUAAAUGCUGAAUUCAAGAGAAUAACUACAAUGCCCUUGCAGUCGAGAUUCCUGUCCCAGCUAGACAUAUUGUCUGACAAGCUGCUGAAGCUGUUCAAAAACAGAGGAGGACAGAUUGACAAACGCCUA